AUAAAUAAGUAAGUAAAUUUAACUUCAGAAUCUGUAUUUUCUUUUUAGGCAGUUCCAUUGAAAUUAGGUGGAAAAAAAAGAAAAUCAUAUCACCGUUAUUAAAUUAUUAAGUUCUAACAUAUAUAGACUCUCAAAAUGUAGUCUGUGGACCCCAGGAGUCCCCAAGACCCUUUCAGGGGAUUUGCAAGAUGAGAAUUAUUUUCAUAAUAAUAUUAAGAUGUUAUUUGUCUUUUUUACCGUGUUGAUAUUUGCACUUACUGUGCAAAAGAAAUGGUGGAUGAAAUGGCUGGCAAGAAUCAGGGCAGAGGUACUAAGUUUUAUUAGUAAUUAUUGCAUUUUUCAUCAGUACACACCCACCCACAGUUAGUAAAUAUGGCAAUAAUAUUUUUAAAAGUCCCUGACUGAAGUAGUAAUAAUAAUUUUAUUAAAUCUCACCCUUAAGUACACAUCUUUUUUAAGACUCUGUGUGAUGAAAUGGAGAAUCCACAUACAGCAUGUUUGCUACAUACCAGUGUCUCAAGGAAAAUUAUGAGUGUGAGUAGGCUGCUUUUGCCUUGAACAUCAUUUUCACUUGGAAGAAAAAUUGACAGGAAAACUAUGGUUAUUUAGAUUUGUGCAUAUGGCAGAUACACUCUCAAAAAUCAUACAAGAGAACUUCUCAUUUCAAGGAAAACAACUGAUGAAAUAGUAUUUGUUGCAAUGAUUAAAUCUCGAACAAAAAUCUGAAUUUUGGAAACUGCCAUCAAAAGCUUGACUGAUUCCCUGUCUUAAUGACUUUUCUGAUAAGACAGGUGUUGAGGUUAAUAAAUGUGACUUUUUUGAUAUUGUGUAAUGAAGUUUGUCAACAUUUGGAAGAUCUUCAUAACUCAGUGAACCAAUAUUUUCCAAAUGACCAAUGAGCGAUGUUAUAAAAUCAUAAAUGGGUAAAAGAUUCAUUCAGAAUGCAAGAAAGACCAAUGGGUUUACUGUAACUGAGUAUGAAAGCUUCAUUAAUAGAGUUUCAGAUUCUACACUACAGCUAACCUUUAAGACGCUACCAGUCACCAGGUGUUGAUGUAGUAUCAAAGAAAAAUAUCCACAAUUAUCUGAGAGGGCUAUUAAAAUAUUCUUCCUUUUUUCAAUUACAGAUCUGUGGGAGGCCAGAUUUUCUUCAUGUACUUCAAUCCAAAGAGCAUAUUGCAACAGACUGAAUGCAGAAGAACCAGGCAGGGAAGAAACAUCUGCAUUUUACAAAUGAGGACAGAGACCCAGAGAAGCUGACUUGCCCUAGGUCAAGAGCUGGUGAGCUUACACCGAACUACCAAUGGAUAGGAGGUGGAAGAGGCUACAAACCAAAACAGAAGCAGGCCAGCUGAAAUUUGCCUGCCAUGGAUGAAUUAAGGACGACAACAAUGAAGUGUAGCCCAGGCAAGUAAAACCUUUGUCAUGGACACUUAGCAUUGGUCCUCAGAAGUGGAACCCUUGAACUAUUUUAUCCUGAGAGAAAGGCUGGAAAGCCCCUUUCUCCGUCUGAUCUAGUAACCUGCUGUCGGAUGGAAUGGUGGAAAGUGAAAGAGCUGAGAAAAGCAGCUGUUUCAAGGAGGACUAUUCAUCCAUUCAACAAAGCCUCAUUGAACACCAACCAUUCACUCAGUCAGCAUUGACUGGGUGCCUACUAGGAGUGAGCACUGUGCUGAGGACACAGAGGUAACAAAACACAAUCCUUGCCGUCCAGUUCUCGCUGACGCUGGGAAGAAAGAUAAGUGAACAGAUGCUACACUGCACGAUGAACAAGUAGAGGGAAGCAGGGGCUGCAACAGGAGCAUGUAAGACUGGUACCUAAUCCAGACUAAAAGAGUCAACAACUACUUCCAGAGGGGUGACUUCUGAGCUGAAGGCUCUGAGGGCUAAGAAAGUUAGUCAAGCUAAAGGAGUAGUGGGUGGGAGCCCCCGGGUUCCUAGUAAGUGAUGAACCUGGAGGACAGGGGGCAAUAUGGACUCAGAUGAGGCUGGAGAGGCAGAUCAUAAAGAAACCUAGAUUUUAUGCUGUAGAUCACUGGUUCUCAAACAGGGGCAGUUUUGCUGCCUUGACUCCUGGGGACAGUUGUCAAUGUUUGGAGACAUUUUAGGUUGUCAUAACUAGGUGGUGGGUGUGCUAUCAACAUCUAGUAAGUAGAGGAUAGGGAUGCUGCUAAACAUCCUACAGUGACAGGAAGGCACCCCCACAAAACAGAAUUAGCCUGCCCCACACGUCAACAGUGCUGAAGCUGAGGAGCCUGGUGUAGAUGAUGGGCAUCACUGAAGACGGUUUAGGGAGAAGAAGGUUUAGGGAUUCUAUUUCCAUUUUAGAAAGAUCACUCUGGCAGCCCUCUGGAGUUACAGCUCAGGUAAGAGGUUGUGCUAUGAGGAUCUUUGGUCCUAAGGAAGUGGCAGUAGAGAUGAGGAGAAAGAGACAGUUUCAAGAAAUCUUCAAGAUGUAAAAUCUUUAAAACUGACUAAUGUAACAGGGGAAGGACAGGGUUACCAUUUCCCCCAGAAGGGACUUACGGAGGAAGCAUAUAUUGAAAAACAUGAUAUGUUCUGUUUGGGGCAUUUUGAAUAUGAAAUAUCUGUGGGUUAUCCACUGUGGGAAGUGGUAAGCUGGCUAUCUGGGGGGGUCUGGAGAACAAGAGAGCGACCUGGACUAGAAAAAAUCAAGAUUUCAGGGUUGUCAACAUGUAGGCAGCAGGGGAAGUCAUAGGAAUGGACAAAAUCACCAUUGGACAAUGUGUAAACUGUGAAGAAAAUCCCCAACAUUUAAGCUCAGGUGAAGAAAAUCACUGUGGGUGAGACUCACAAGCGGCCAGAAGAAAGGGAGUCAUGAGAAUUAAAGAAGAGUUUCAGGAAUAAGGGAAUGGUCAACAGUGAUCGAUGCUGUCAAGUCAGGGAACAAGAGGUCAAAUAUGAACAAGGGAACAGGAAUGCAGGUCAACAGAAAAGUAAAUCUGGACUGAACAAAACAGGACACUGUUGACGACCUUGGUAAAUGUGGUUACAGUAAAUUGACAGAAGCAGAAGCAAAAACAGCAGGUUGAGUGCGUGAAAGAGGAGGACAGUAGCCAGAUGGUCUUUUCCCUCCACUUUACAGUUGCUAAGGAAUCGUUUCUCUUGUUGUUUUGAAGAAAGAAGAGGUUUGAGGAUGUUUAUAAGCUAAUGGGCUGGAAAAAGAGGUUGAAAAUGAGGCAGGCAGGUAUGAAAACAAGGAGGUGGGAGAGGAUAAGGCCCAGAGCCCAGGGAGAAGUUGCAGCUUGGGAAUAUAUACUUAAGAUAAUGUAAUAUGAUAGGUGGUCAUGAUGAAGUUCACCUGGAGGAAGGAGAAAGUUGAGAAAGUUGAUGUUUGUGGUAUUAUUACAGGCUCUUUGAAAGCUACUAAAAAUGUCAGAGACCCUUUGAGGGCUUACAUCCCUAGGGAAGGUCAAAAGAUAAAGCCUUCCCUGUCUACUCACCCCAUCCAUGCUACUUAACCUCUACUUGGCUUUCAAGACCCAGCACAAACACAAGUUCCAGGCAGGCACCUCCUCUGGAGGCCCCAGUUAGAUGGAAUCUCUUCCCUGCCUGGACUGUCAUAGCACUUUGUACCAUUCACACUCUCAUUGCCUGCUCUUUGGAAUGAGGCUCUACCUGGUAGAUCUCUGUAGCUGCCACAAGGCCUUGCACUAGUGUGAGAGCAGUAAGUACCAACAAAUGGAUGAAGAGAGUUCUGAGACCUGCGCAACACGCAGUGGGUGGGCUAGUGCUGAGUGGGCAGCACAGACAUCAAGGGCUCUAGGAACUUGAAACAAAGAGACAGCUCUCACACUGGAGGUAAUGUGAGAGUCUGAAUGGAAGAAAUGGCACUGGAGCUGUUUAAGGGAUGAACUUCUGUGGGUAAAAAGAUGGGGAAAGGGGACGGAAAAAUUAUUCCAAGUGGAGGAAAUUAUAAUAGCAAAGCCACUUUAAAAGCAUGUUUAAAGAACAGCAAAUUGUUCGUUUGCUGGAGAAGGUCCAACAGCAACAAUAAUAAGGGUAAUUGCUACUAACAUUUAUUGAGCACUUAACUAUGUUGCCAGGCACUCAGCUAGGCAUUUUCCCUCCAUUAUCUCAUUCAAUCCUCACUACCACCAGUAACAUAGAUACUAGUAUUAUCCUCACCCUACAUGUUAAGAAAUGAGGUGGAGUUACUUCCUGAGGUUAGCUGGUAAGAAUGGUAGAAACUGGAAUUAAACUGGGCAGUCUGGAUGUAGAACUUGAACUCUUUUUUUUUUAAUAGAAGUAUAGUCAAUUUACAAUGUUGUGUCGGUUUUUGGUGUCACAGCAUGGUGAUUCAGUUAUACAUAUAUAUAUUCCUUUUCAUAUUCUUUUUCAUU